CCUACGGGAGGCAGCAGUGAGGAAUAUUGGUCAAUGGGCGAGAGUCUGAACCAGCCAAGUAGCGUGAAGGAUGACUGCCCUACGGGUUGUAAACUUCUUUUAUAUGGGAAUAAAAUGUUCCACGUGUGGGAUUUUGUAUGUACCAUAUGAAUAAGGAUCGGCUAACUCCGUGCCAGCAGCCGCGGUAAUACGGAGGAUCCGAGCGUUAUCCGGAUUUAUUGGGUUUAAAGGGAGCGUAGAUGGGUUGUUAAGUCAGUUGUGAAAGUUUGCGGCUCAACCGUAAAAUUGCAAUUGAUACUGGCAGCCUUGAGUACAGUUGAGGUAGGCGGAAUUCGUGGUGUAGCGGUGAAAUGCUUAGAUAUCACGAAGAACUCCGAUUGCGAAGGCAGCUUACUAAACUGCCACUGACAUUGAUGCUCGAAAGUGUGGGUAGCAAACAGGAUUAGAUACCCUUGUAGUC
rnacentral:rRNA from 1 species